GGCAAGAUGCGGUCUGAUUUCCAGUUGUUGGACGAGCAGAAGGACGCUAUGGAUGCAACCUGAAGGUCCAAGACUCAAUCCACUGAAGGCUCUCCGUAAGAUGGUGGAUCUGAUGUCUGCUUUGUGGUCCUAUAGG